UGAGCAAUCUGCCCUUCUCAUCGGAAUAAGCGUUGGAAACGACGUCUAAUGCCGAAUACGACCUCCUUUCGCAUGAUCGGAGGUGGAAAGCUCCGGCGGAGAAGGAUGAGCUCGCGGCCUAUCAGCUAGUUGGUGUGGGUAAUGGCCCACCAAGGCGACGACGGGUAGCCGGCCUGAGAGGGUGACCGGCCACACUGGAACUGAGACACGGUCCAGACCUCCGUACGGGAGCAG
rnacentral:rRNA from 1 species